rnacentral:misc_RNA from 1 species
AAAGUCGUAACAAGGUAACCGUAGGUGAACCUGCGGUUGGAUCAUUAACGUAAACAACCACGUUACAGUGUCUUAAUUGACAUUGUAUGUGGAUGUGCGCAUUGCGCUUCUACAUUUUGUGCACUGUACAUGUAUUCCGGUAGGUGGUUUCAGACAGCGUCUUCGGGCCCAUGUCUUUAACCAGCUCCCAUUGCAGUUCAUUGAUUUUUCAGUGAAUGAAGGUGGGAAGGAAGCAGCCUACCGGAUGGUGUUAUCUUACUUUUGCUGUUAUAUUAAAUUGUCUGAAUCAAAAGUAUUUGUAGUAAUAUACAAAAACAACUUUUGGCAACGGAUCUCUUGGUUCUC